CCAGACUCCUACGGGAGGCAGCAGUGAGGAAUAUUGGCCAAUGGCCGAGAGGCUGAACCAGCCAAGUCGCGUGAGGGAAGACGGCCCUACGGGUUGUAAACCUCUUUUGUCGGGGAGCAAAGCGAACCACGUGUGGUUCAUUGAGAGUACCCGAAGAAAAAGCAUCGGCUAACUACGUGCCAGCAGCCGCGGUAAUACGUAGGGGGCAAGCGUUAUCCGGAUUUACUGGGUGUAAAGGGAGCGUAGGUGGCAGGGCAAGUCAGAUGUGAAAACCCGGGGCUCAACCCCGGGAGUGCAUUUGAAACUGUCCAGCUGGAGUGCAGGAGAGGUAAGCGGAAUUCCUAGUGUAGCGGUGAAAUGCAUAGAUAUUAGGAGGAACACCAGUGGCGAAGGCGGCUUACUGGACUGUAACUGACGUUGAGGCUCGAAAGCGUGGGGAGCAAACAGGAUUAGAUACCCGCGUAC
rnacentral:rRNA from 1 species